rnacentral:rRNA from 1 species
CCUACGGGUGGCUGCAGUGGGGAAUUUUGGACAAUGGGGGAAACCCUGAUCCAGCCAUCCCGCGUGUGCGAUGAAGGCCUUCGGGUUGUAAAGCACUUUUGGCAGGAAAGCGGUACCUGCAGAAUAAGCACCGGCUAACUACGUGCCAGCAGCCGCGGUAAUACGUAGGGUGCAAGCGUUAAUCGGAAUUACUGGGCGUAAAGCGUGCGCAGGCGGUUCGGAAAGAAAGAUGUGAAAUCCCAGAGCUUAACUUUGGAACUGCAUUUUUAACUACCGAGCUAGAGUGUGUCAGAGGGAGGUGGAAUUCCGCGUGUAGCAGUGAAAUGCGUAGAUAUGCGGAGGAACACCGAUGGCGAAGGCAGCCUCCUGGGAUAAACUGACGCUCAUGCACGAAAGCGUGGGGAGCAAACAGGAUUAGAUACCCGAGUAGUC